UACGUAGGUGGCAAGCGUUGUCCGGAUUUACUGGGCGUAAAGAGCGCGCAGGCGGUCGUAUAAGUCGAAUGUGAAAGCCCCCGGCUCAACUGGGGAGGGUCAUUCGAUACUGUUCGACUCGAGGGCAGGAGAGGGAAGUGGAAUUCCGGGUGUAGUGGUGAAAUGCGUAGAUAUCCGGAGGAACACCAGUGGCGAAGGCGACUUUCUGGACUGUUCUUGACGCUGAGGCGCGAAAGCUAGGGGAGCAAACGGG
rnacentral:rRNA from 1 species